CUUAAGGCAGCAUUUAAGAGAAUGAUUUAUGCCAUCUGUUCGUCCAGAACAUGCUACAGAAGUUGGCUUUGGCCGCUACCACGUACUUGUCAGAGAGGAUUAGGAGAAUUAUACAUAACUUAAUCUCAGGAGCAGUGGGGUCACCUACGAAAUUAGGCUGAUUUUGGGCCAUGAACAAAAAGGGGAAGAACCGGGUGUGAGAGGAGGAAACACAAGGGUUUCCUGAACCUGAUUUUGCCUUGCAAUGAAUCCUGCCUGGAUAAACUGUCUUCUGGAAGGAAGCAAUCCAGUUCCACGAACAAAGACUAAAGUAUCUCAUGACUUCGUUGGAUCACGCCGGCUGGCAGCCUCCUGAUUCCUGCGUACCUCGGACCUCCAUCUGCGAACCCUGUCCACCCUCCUCCCUCCAUCGCACCUCGUGGAUUACAAACUCUCCUGGCGUACCAUAUUCACCAACUUCAGUCUCACCGGCAAACAACCACUUGGUUUCUCCACUCCCCUCUGGUGGAUCCCUCCACCAUUCUUUUUUGCAUCCUGGUUCCAGUUCCCUGCAGUUUUCACCCAGUUGUAAAUAAACACUUUACCGAACAAUACCGUCUCCUGAAUUGCUUUCUGUAUGUGGGUCAAAUCCUUUAAACUCAAUAUGACAGGAAGUGGAAAGGAGAUCAUUUUACCACACGUCAGCCACAGCUCAGUGGUCCUUGCAAACUUUCUGACAGGAGUCAAAUAAAUAAUCAGAAGACUUGUCAAAAAGCCAUUUGCUGAGAGCUUCAAAAAGACCUGGAAUCAGCAGGUGCAGUUUUUCCAUAAAUACAUUAAUGCACUCAAUUUCAAUGGCCUCUCUCGACAGUGAAGUUUGAAGAUGUUAACAUGGGAACAUAGAGACAGUUUUAGCAUAUACUGGCAGAUUUCAUAU